AAUAUGGAGAUGAAGUAAAUCAUUCAUUUGUGCAAUGUGCUGUAAAAAAUAGAUCCAUGUAUAUAUGAUGUAUGUAUCGUUUUAUGGAUGUCAGGUCGAUGGAUUGGUGACUUUGAUGGAAGGUUUUAUUUUUCUGCAAAGUUGAGGUUGUGAAAGAAACCAUCAAUCGCCUCAAUAGAAUUCACACCAAACACUGCUAAUGAUCCUCACAAGAGGAAGCCAGAUAUAAGCAAAGCAAAGGAUCUUCUCAACUGGCAGCCCAAAGUUUAGUUACGAGAUGGAUUGCCUCAAAUGGUUGACGAUUUUAGAAACCGCAUCUUGAAUGAGGAUGAAGGAAAUGGAAACAAAUGAGUGGAUAUAGUGAUGCAGCAAAACCAGAUCUUCCACGACUACAUGAAUGACAUUUAGAUAUGGGCUUGAUCGAGACGUGGAUGGAAAAACUAGAGGAGUCUGAGACCAAGCAGAGAAACAUGAUCAAAACUUCCAUUGUCACUGUUUUCUUUAAUUGUAAAACACUUGAUCCUUUCACGUUCCAUCUUGUACAUGGUUAAAUUAGUACUAUAAAUUGUUGUUAUGUUGGAGAUUGAACAUAUGAUCUUUUGUUAGAAUUCUAUGAAUUAUUAUAAUAUGAGAUUAUUCGAGGUUUA